UACGGAGGGGGCUAACGUUGUUCGGAAUUACUGGGCGUAAAGCGCGCGUAGGCGGACCUGCAAGUCGGGGGUGAAAGCCCGAGGCUCAACCUCGGAACUGCCUUCGAUACUGCGGGUCUCGAGUCCGGGAGAGGUGAGUGGAAUUCCGUAGUGUAGAGGUGAAAUUCGUAGAUAGUUAGGAAGAACACCAGUGGCGUAAGGCGGCUAGCACUCGUGCC
rnacentral:rRNA from 1 species